rnacentral:rRNA from 1 species
AUUCCAGCUCCAAUAGCGUAUAUUAAAGUUGUUGCAGUUAAAAAGCUCGUAGUUGGAUUUCUGGUGGGGACGUUUGGCCGGCCGUAACGGUUUGCGCUGAAAUGUUCUUCGCCAUCCUUGACGAAUACUGGUUCGCCAUUAAGUUGUGUGGGCUUGGAGUCGUCAUCGUUUACUGUGAAAAAAUUAGAGUGUUCAAAGCAGGCUUAUGCCGUUGAAUACAUUAGCAUGGAAUAAUAAGAUAGGACCCUGGUACUAUUUUGUUGGUUUGCGUACCUAGGUAAUGAUUAAUAGGGACAGUCAGGGGCACUCGCAUUCCGCCGAGAGAGGUGAAAUUCUCAGACCAGCGGAAGACGAACCACUGCGAAAGCAUUUGCCAGGGAUGUUUUCAUCA